AUUGAACGCUGGCGGCAUGCCUAACACAUGCAAGUCGAGCGAGCGGCGGACGGGUGAGUAAUGUAUUGGGACCUGCCUGAUAGAGGGGUAUAACUACUGGAAACGGUGGCUAAUACCGCUUACUAUCCGCUGACCCCAUAGUGGAUUAGCUAGUAGGUGGGGUAAAGGCUCACCAAGGCGACGCUCCCUAGCUGGUCUGAGAGGAUGAUCAGCCACACGAGGACUGAGAAACGGCCCAGACUCCUACGGGAGGCAGCAGUAGGGAAUAUUGCACAAUGGGCGCAAGCCUGAUGCAGCCAUGCCGCGUGUAUGAAGAAGGCCUUAGGGUUGUAAAGUACUUUCAGCGGGGAGGCGUUACCCGAAGAAGAAGCACCGGCUAACUCCGUGCCAGCAGCCGCGGUAAUUC
rnacentral:rRNA from 1 species